ensembl:processed_transcript
GCCAUAGGUUAAUGCAAGUGUUUAACAGAUGCUUCGCUAUUAAAAUAUUUUCCCCCCAAUACUGAAGAAUCUUAAACCAGCAACCCUAACAGAGAUUGCGAAAGUUUUCAAAGUGGGGCACCUCGAUUUCUCGAAUCUGUGGUGUGGCGAAUAUCCGUGUACCUCCUGCUUAACUAGCCUGUUUGAAGGCACAGUUCAUUCUCGAGCAAUUCGUCACCUCCUGGGGGUCUUCUCUUCCCGUCUACAGGAGAGUGUGACUUCAGAAAGAACUUCGGAUUGGCCAAGGCAGGUCUGAUUCUAUUUAUUCUAAAGACAGAGUUGGAGAUGGGCUACCAUUGGUAUUGAUUGAGAUGACAAGCAGUCACCUGAACCCAUACAGCUGGUAAGUAGAACAGCACUGGAGAGAUGGCUCAGCAGUUAAGAGAACUGACUGCUCUUCUAAAGAUCCUGAGUUCAAUUCCCAGCAACCACAUGGUAGCUCACAAACAUCUGUAAUGGGAUCAGGUGCCCUCUU